GUGGGGAAUAUUGGACAAUGGGGGGAACCCUGAUCCAGCCAUGCCGCGUGUGUGAAGAAGGCCUUUUGGUUGUAAAGCACUUUAAGCGAGGAGGAGGCUACCGAGAUUAAUACUCUUGGAUAGUGGACGUUACUCGCAGAAUAAGCACCGGCUAACUCUGUGCCAGCAGCCGCGGUAAUACAGAGGGUGCAAGCGUUAAUCGGAUUUACUGGGCGUAAAGCGCGCGUAGGUGGCCAAUUAAGUCAAAUGUGAAAUCCCCGAGCUUAACUUGGGAAUUGCAGUCGAUACUGGUUGGCUAGAGUAUGGGAGAGGAUGGUAGAAUUCCAGGUGUAGCGGUGAAAUGCGUAGAGAUCUGGAGGAAUACCGAUGGCGAAGGCAGCCAUCUGGCCUAAUAUUGACACUGAGGUGCGAAAGCAUGGGGAGCAAACAGGAUUAGAUACCCGGGUAGUCC
rnacentral:rRNA from 1 species